CAGUCGCCGCGGGAAUACGGAGGGUGCAAGCGUUAAUCGGAAUUACUGGGCGUAAAGCGUGCGUAGGCGGUUCGUUAAGUCUGUUGUGAAAGCCCCGGGCUCAACCUGGGAAUGGCAAUGGAUACUGGCGAGCUAGAGUGUGUCAGAGGAUGGUGGAAUUCCCGGUGUAGCGGUGAAAUGCGUAGAGAUCGGGAGGAACAUCAGUGGCGAAGGCGGCCAUCUGGGUCAACACUGACGCUGAGGCACGAAAGCGUGGGGAGCAAACAGGAUUAGAUACCCCUGUAGUCCCUGUCUCUUAUAC
rnacentral:rRNA from 1 species